UACGUAGGGGGCAAGCGUUGUCCGGAAUCAUUGGGCGUAAAGGGCGCGUAGGUGGCCCGGUCAGUUCGUGGUGAAAGCGCGGGGCUCAACCCUGCGUCGGCCAUGAAUACUGCCGCGGCUGGAGCACUGUAGAGGCAGGCGGAAUUCCGGGUGUAGCGGUGGAAUGCGUAGAGAUCCGGAAGAACACCGGUGGCGAAGGCG
rnacentral:rRNA from 1 species